ACGCUCGACACCUACGGGAGCAGCAGUUGGGAAUAUUGGACAAUGGAGGAAACUCUGAUCCAGUGACGCCGCGUGAAGGAAGAAGGUCUUCGGAUUGUAAACUUAUUUUGUCAGGGAAGAAAAAAUGACUGUACCUGAAGAAAAAGCACCGGCUAACUACGUGCAGCAGCCGCGGUAAUCUGAGCGGGCUGGCAAGGC
rnacentral:rRNA from 1 species